UACCGCAUACGUCCUACGGGAGAAAGCAGGGGACCUUCGGGCCUUGCGCUAUCAGAUGAGCCUAGGUCGGAUUAGCUAGUUGGUGAGGUAAUGGCUCACCAAGGCUACGAUCCGUAACUGGUCUGAGAGGAUGAUCAGUCACACUGGAACUGAGACACGGUCCAGACUCCUACGGGAGGCAGCAGUGGGGAAUAUUGGACAAUGGGCGAAAGCCUGAUCCAAACAGGCCGCGUGUGUGAAGAAGGUCUUCGGAUG
rnacentral:rRNA from 1 species